UACGAAGGGGGCUAGCGUUGUUCGGAAUUACUGGGCGUAAAGCGUGCGCAGGCGGCUUCUCAAGUCAGGGGUGAAAGCCCAGAGCUCAACUCUGGAAUUGCCUUUGAGACUGAGUGGCUUGAGUACGUGAGAGGUGAGUGGAAUUCCCAGUGUAGAGGUGAAAUUCGUAGAUAUUGGGAAGAACACCGGUGGCGAAGGCGGCUCACUGGCUCGUAACUGACGCUCAUGCACGACAGCGUGGGGAUCAAACAGG
rnacentral:rRNA from 1 species